CCGCCGGCUGAAUCCCCCUUUUGCGUCCUGCUCUGCGGGACCCCGCGGCGGGGAGCGGGAGCGGCUGACCCCAAAACCUCAAGUUUUGGCAGAGGCCGGGCCCCGGCGGCUCCCCCCCCUCGGCACGGCCCCGGGCCCGGCCACGCCGCGGCCGGGAGACCGCUACGGGCGGCCGGGGGCAGCGCAUCCCGGCUCGGCCCGGGGGCGAAGUUUGCCGUGGGGACGAACGGGACGAGCUGCCCCCCCCCCCGCCGCCGCCGCCGCGGGGCUGGAAGGGGCGGACGGACCCGCACCGCGCUCGGGGCUCCGGCCGGGGCCGCCCCCAUUGUCCCGGGAGCGCAGCGGGGCGGCGGGAGGGGAAGGGAAAGGAAGGGAAAAAGAAGGGACGAGAAGGGCCGGUGGGAGCCUCCCGCCCCGCCGCUGCUGGCAGGAUGCUCCGCCCGGGCUGGCGCUCCUCCGGGGGGGGGGGCGAGAGCCAGCAACUUUCCGCAAGUUGGAGCCGCGCUGGGAGAGCUGCCGAGUGCACUCACCGCCGAGCCGAACCGUGCCGUGCUGCCCCGUGCCGAGCCGUGCCGUGCCUCAACCCCGCUGCCCGCGCUCGGCUCGCCCCGGCCCCGCCGCCCCGGCCGGAUUGGGCCGUGCUGCUGCACAUCACGUUGGCCCAGCGCGGCGAUUAGGCGUCGGGAGAGUCACUCAGGGCGGGGAGGAGCUGCCUUGCCCUGCCCUGCCCUGCCCUGCUCCCCACUACACGCAUCCCUCGUGUCCUGCGUGCCUCCCCGCUCCGUGCAGCCACGCAUCCCGCUCCCACGCGCGCAUUGCCCCGCUCCCGUAAGCUUUCCUCGUUCCUCCCCUGCGUGCGUCUCCGCAAGCUGGCAUGCCUUCUGCCUACAAGCAUCCCUGCCCCUUCCAGUGCAUGCACCCCUCCUUCAUACGCGGGCUCCCCUUGCAGCCUCACCUUCUCUGUCCAGAGCGAGCACCCGGCCGGUGCUGAGGAUGCUGGUGCUAAGGAUGCAGGUGGGCACACCGGGGGCCAACCCGGAGACUGGCUCCUACAAAAAGCGUGAGGGUGCGGGGGUGCCUGAAUCCUUGCACCCUGAGCUCUGUGCUCCGGGGCAGGGGGCAUUGCCACAGCCCUGCCCUGCCCUGCCUCCAGCUGUCCGAUUUGGGAUAGGUGGCCUCAUCUCUGUCCUAAUUUCUACAUCUGCUGCACAAAGAUUCACACCGAAAAUUGCUAGAAGGGCUCUGGAAGCCAAGGGCCUUAGAGACACUUUUGCGCAGAAGUGGUGGAGAACAGAAGUUAAUACAAACGAGAAUCCUUGA
rnacentral:lncRNA from 1 species